AUACGGAGGGUGCAAGCGUUACUCGGAAUCACUGGGCGUAAAGCGCGCGUAGGCGGAUUGAUCAGUCAGGGGUGAAAUCCCGGAGCUUAACUCCGGAACUGCCUUUGAUACUGUCAAUCUUGAGUUCGAGAGAGGUGAGUGGAAUUCCUAGUGUAGAGGUGAAAUUCGUAGAUAUUAGGAAGAACACCAGUGGCGAAGGCGGCUCACUGGCUCGAUACUGACGCUGAGGUGCGAAAGCGUGGGGAGCAAACAGGAUUAGAUACCCUAGUAGUCC
rnacentral:rRNA from 1 species